UCAAGUCACGUCUGGAAGUGUUACAGGAUGGAAGAGUGAGCCUACAGUUGAAAAACACUGAAAGUGCAUUACCAUUAAGGUAUGAGGUAAAGUAAUAGAGUAUGCAAAUUGUCUAAUGAGAAGUACCAUCUUGUGUGAAUGAAUCCUGUGUAACAGCAAUCCUUUAUAGUUCUGUCACAGCUAGAAGCCUCAAAUAAUUCUGCUUCUCUUGCUAAAGAACAACUUGUCCUUUACGUUCAGAGUGUUGGUGAAGCUGGGUACUUAAAUGGCCCUAAAGAUGUUUCAUUUCGUUGGCAUUGCAGCGAUGAACAUCAUACAUGGACUUUUUAGGAAAGGAUUUUCAUGUACUGGGAACACAACUAUCAACAAUGCAACAUUGUACAGGUGCUAGUUUAUCAUUCAAGAGCCUUAUACAAUGAUGUUAAUCUGCAAUUUGUAUGUCCUUCCCCAAGCUUCCACCAGAAGUUGAAUCUAUGAGUCAUGUAAGUUACAUGAUCAACAGUUGAUAUGUUUAACGGUGUUGUUUUUCUUUUCUCAAUAUAGGUUAAUAGUAACAUUGGAUCUGAAAAAAUUCUUGGUUUGGGGCAAGAUACUGAAUAAAUUGUAUUGAUUGGAUGGAUGACAUGACAUUUCUAUACUUAAUUCGGAUUCCCCAGACGGUAUUUGAUAUUUAAAAAAUUGAAGUGCAUAUCUGGGCUCCCUUCUUUUCUGAAGCCCCGUUUCCCCUUGACUCGUAAUAAGCCCGUAGGGGGUCAUGCCCCUACUGUACGGUAUAUAUAAAAACAACAUAUACCGAGGUUUGGAGGGCUCUGGCCGGAAAGGGGACGUGGGAGAUCGGAAGAG